GAGUUUGAUCCUGGCUCAGAUUGAACGCUGGCGGCAGGCCUAACACAUGCAAGUCGAGCGGAUGAAGGGAGCUUGCUCCUGGAUUCAGCGGUGGACGGGUGAGUAAUGCCUAGGAAUCUGCCUGGUAGUGGGGGAUAACGUCCGGAAACGGGCGCUAAUACCGCAUACGUCCUGAGGGAGAAAGUGGGGGAUCUUCGGACCUCACGCUAUCAGAUGAGCCUAGGUCGGAUUAGCUAGUUGGUGGGGUAAAGGCCUACCAAGGCGACGAUCCGUAACUGGUCUGAGAGGAUGAUCAGUCACACUGGAACUGAGACACGGUCCAGACUCCUACGGGAGGCAGCAGUGGGGAUAUUGGACAAUGGCGAAAGCCUGAUCCAGCCAUG
rnacentral:rRNA from 1 species